UACAGAGGGGGCAAGCGUUGUUCGGAAUUACUGGGCGUAAAGGGCGCGUAGGCGGCCUGUUAAGUCGGACGUGAAAUCCCUCGGCUCAACCGGGGAACUGCGUCCGAUACUGGCGGGCUUGAAUUCGGGAGAGGGAUGUGGAAUUCCAGGUGUAGCGGUGAAAUGCGUAGAUAUUCGGAGGAACACCGGUGGCGAAGGCGGCUUCCUGGACCGGUUCUGACGCUGCAGAGCGAAAGCUAGGGGAGCAAACAGG
rnacentral:rRNA from 1 species